ACCUGAUCUGAAAUCAAGAGUCAGAUGCUCAGUCGACUAGGCCACCCAGGUGCCCUAUCCUGAUGUCAUUUUUUGGGAAGGAGGAGGUGAAUACAUUUAUGCUUCUGGCCUAUUGAAUCAGGAAAUAAGUAACUUAAGAACAACUUCUGAAAUUUUAGAGCCAUAGCGUGAUAAAAGCGGAAGGGACAUGCGUGAUCCUUCUUACCUGGGGCCCCAGGUCACAGGAGAGAGCCACGGGCCCAGCGCAGGGGAGGGGCUGGCCGGCUCGCCCACCUGCCUGCGAGCUCACAGCACGGUGUUUGCCUUCACGGAAGAGCUGUUGUUCGUUGUGUCUGCGGAACUGAUGUACCAAUCCAGGUCCAGGAACGUGUGGACCAGCAAGACGUGGGUUUGGAGGUGGAGACCAAAAGAGAAGCCUCGAAUGCUCACCGUGUACUCUCAGCUCCUGUAGCCUGAGGGAGGCGUCCUGGUCUCAUUUCACAAAUGUGGGGUUCCUAGAGGAGAAGUGACACGCCCAGCUUGUAGCCCUGCCCUCCUGGCUUGGGACUGGAUAUGGUGGUGCCACCCAGCAGUGAGGCAUCCCUAUACGUCAGAGCCCGGGUUUGAGCUCUGCUCCUCUCUCCGUGUGGUCUGUGAGGAUUGGGUAAGGCCUGGACAUGGCGGUCAGAGCUCAUGUGAAGAGGCAAAUUACCGAUACAUGAGGAUUUAAGAAGCAAGCCAGCACCUGAAGGACGUGGAGAAGGUCUGCUGUGCAGCAUCACAUGGGGCUUUGUCCGACCCCCCAGCCCCCCAACAUAAAUCUGAGAUAAAGUGAAGAAACUGAGGAUUGAGGUCAUGCAUCUGGGAAAAUGGAUCUAAGAUCACAAAGACCCUUUGAAACCGGGAACCCUUCUGUUUCUACACAGGACUCAAGCCAGGCUUUUAACAAAGCUGGUGUAGGACAUUUUUCUCUAUUACUGUCCCUGGAGACGUAUCCCAGACAACAAAGGAUAAAAUGAAACAACUUUUCACUUUCUUAAAAACAAGGAAAAGUCUCAGCCUCAAGCCAUGGGACAUAACGUGCAUCUUCCAAAACCUGUGAAGGGCAGGACACCAGGAGGGGAUCCAGAGCUGGCAUCCACCUCCUUGGACCUUGAGCAGGAUGCAUAUGUCCCUGAGGUAAAGACCAGAUAUGAGGUAGAGACCUACCUCAGGGUAAACAAAAUCACGUGGAAGAACAGAGGAGUUCUGCACAGCAGUCUGUGUCCAUGUGAUGUCCCAGUUCAUUACUCUCUCCCCUUGGCCCAGGUCAGCACGUGACGAGCUCCACCCGAUCCAAAAAGGAAGAGGCCACAGAACAGGUGACACAGAAAAAUGUUAAAUGAUAUAACUGAAGAAAACUUUACCGAAAUAAGUAACGGGCUUCUCAGAAGGAAAAUGUGAUACGGAAUGAGCAGCACCAAUGAACGCUGCUGUGAAAAUCCUGAAGUUCAUGAGUAAGAAAGGAGCCCUAUUGGCUUCUAGGAGAACGUGCAAAUUUCAAGGCAUAAAGGCAUAUCCUAGAAUUUUCCACAACUGAAGUCAGUGCUGGAAAAUGAACAUCUACAAAGUGGUGAAGAAUAAUGUCUGGGAUGAUGUUUACCAAAUAUUGAUGACCACGGCCACGUGAGUAGUGGAAUUUUGGAUAAUUUUUUCCCCCGCUGGCUCUUCUGCACUUUUUUGGUGUUGCUGGAAUAUUUUCACAAUGCUCAUAUGUGAAGUGUAUUCACUGAAUAAAGCCCAUAUUCCCCACCAAAAAAUAAAGCCAUCACAAUGGAAGAAAAGGCAAAGCUAAUUUCUAAAAUUGGAGUUGCCUAUCUGGCCACCCAUUCUCUGGACUCAGAUGCUAAUCAUGGCUGUAAACUGACUUUACCCAUCCCAGCAGAUUUCCCCAAGAAUAUCUGAAGUGCUUUACAAUUCAGGUUGAAUCUAACGGGGACAGAGCCCAUACAUCACAGUAAAGGACAAGUGCACAAACCCUGGUACCCCUUUCCUUGGAGAUUUUCAGACAUGGAGGCAGGUAUGAUUACAAUAAACGCAUCUAUCGUGACUCAUUUAGACACUGAUUUGGUGUCCUCUACUGAGUCACUUCCCAUAGUAUCCUGUAAUGAUAAUGUGCAAUUUAAACACAAUUUAAAGGGGCCCCUGGGUGGCUCAGUCGGUGGAGCGUCCGACUUCGGCUCAGGUCAUGAUCUCACGGUCCGUGAGUUCGAGCCCCGCGUCGGGCUCUGUGCUGACAGCUCAGCUC